UACGUAGGUGGCAAGCGUUGUCCGGAUUUACUGGGUGUAAAGGGCAUGUAGGCGGGAUGGUAAGUCAGAUGUGAAAUACCGGGGCUCAACCCCGGGGCUGCAUUUGAAACUGCCGUUCUUGAGUGUCGGAGAGGAAAGCGGAAUUCCUAGUGUAGCGGUUAAAUGCGUAGAUAUUAGGAGGAACACCAGUGGCGAAGGCGGCUUUCUGGACGAUAACUGACGCUGAGGCGCGAAAGCGUGGGGAGCAAACA
rnacentral:rRNA from 1 species